rnacentral:snRNA from 1 species
GGAUGUGAGGGCAAUCUGGCUGCGACAUCUGUCACCCCAUUGACCGCCAGGGUUGAUUCUGCUGAUCUGGCUGGCUAUGCGGGUGUCCCCUUCCUCCCUCACCGCUCCAUGUGCGUCCCUCCCGAAGCUGCGCACUUGGUAGGUCGAAGAGGACAACCAUCCCCGAUAGAGGAGGACCGUUCUUCGGUCAAGGGUAUACGAGUAGUUGCACUCCCCUGCUAGAACCUCCAAACAAGCUCUCAAGGGCCUGCAUAAAUCUAACAAUAAGCUCAAUGCAAGACUCCAAACUGUAUUU